rnacentral:rRNA from 1 species
GACGAACGCUGGCGGCGUGCCUAAUACAUGCAAGUCGAGCGCUCAAGGUUGGUCUUUGUACCAACUGGAUGAGCAGCGAACGGGUGAGUAACGCGUGGGGAAUCUGCCUUUGAGCGGGGGACAACAUUUGGAAACGAAUGCUAAUACCGCAUAAAAACUUUAAACACAAGGUUUAAGUUUGAAAGAUGCAAUUGCAUCACUCAAAGAUGAUCCCGCGUUGUAUUAGCUAGUUGGUGAGGUAAAGGCUCACCAAGGCGAGGGUACAUAGCAGAACUGAGAGGGUGAUCGGCCACAGUGGGAUUGAGACACGGCCAAAACUCCUACGUGAGGGAGCAGGAGGGGAUCGUUGGAGAAGGACGAAGGGCUGACCGUGGGACACCGCGUGAGUGAAGAAGAUUAUCGGAUCGUAAGACUGUGUUGGUAGAGAAGGACGUUAAAGAGGGUGAAAAGCUCAUAAAGUGACGGUAACGACCCAAAAAGGGACGGCUAACUACGUG